UACGGAGGGUGCGAGCGUUAAUCGGAAUUACUGGGCGUAAAGCGCGCGUAGGCGGUUUGUUAAGUCCUUUGUGAAAGCCCUGGGCUCAACCUGGGAAUGGCAGGGGAUACUGGCGAGCUCGAGUGUGGUAGAGGGGUGUGGAAUUUCCGGUGUAGCAGUGAAAUGCGUAGAGAUCGGAAGGAACACCAGUGGCGAAGGCGGCACCCUGGACCAACACUGACGCUGAGGGGCGAAAGCGUGGGGAGCAAACAGGAUUAGAUACCCCUGUAGUCC
rnacentral:rRNA from 1 species